ACACAAAACACGGCUGAAGUUGUUGUUCGUCUCUCUGUGAGAAAAGACGAUUACCAAAACAAAGAGUAUUGCUGAAACUCCUACAGAUCUGUCAUAUUACAUUGCCUUUGGAUGUAAGCAUAAUCUAAAGACCACAACAUUUAAGUUUCCUAAGUUUUCCGAAGUAAAAAUUGGUGAAGAAAUCGUAGGCUUAGCCUAUGCGGCUUGGGAGCCCACUCAACACAGCACUUCAUUCAUUCACGAUGUCGUGAUCGAGUAUUUCACAAUGUCGACUGCCAGGCGCCAAGAGACUUAGAUUAUUUAUCGUCUUUUAGAAUGCAAGGAAAAAUAUUUAAGGAAGCUAAAAACGAAUGCAGUGCCUAUAGUAUUUUAAUUCAACAACCAACACUUCCACCCAAGAUCGUGCGUGGGGCUUAUCAAAAGGAAGGAAAAAGGAGGUACUGUACUAGAAGACCUUACCAAAUGCAGAUGCAAAUGAAGAGAAAGGUGUUAGGGGAGUUGUUAUUAACAUUGUUAUAGAAGAUAAUGGUCAACCAAAUGAACAACACCAGGCAUAUUAACCAGAGAAGGAGAAGCAAAAUUGGCAGUUUGUUUCCUAACAUUGUAGAAAAAACAACAAUCUGUAUUAAAAGCUGUAAAUGAAUAAUCCACAUUAGGUUAUGUUGAGGAAUUAUUUGAUGCUCUUCCUUUGAGAGUCGGUAUGAGAUCAAAACGCUUAAGGAUGCACUUGACCAUGCAAAAGAAAAUCAUGACGUCAUUCCUGAACAAAUAACAAAUUACUUUAUUUGGACUGAUAAGGGUACACUGGUUAGGGAAAGAAAGUCAAGAUUCAAAUUAAACAGAAGUUUAAUGUAGGUUAUGCAGUAAUGUUAAAAUUAGGAAUUCAUGUGCAAGUAUCGGAAGGAAAUGGCUUCCAUAUUGUAAGAACUGCACAUGCUGGUAUUACUCUUCAGUUGUUUCGGCCAAGCUUGUGCCAAAUCCAACAUAUGAAUCGCCUGUAUGCAACAUGACGGUACAAUCUAAUACAGUAAUGUUAAUGCAGGACCCCAAUGGAAAUAAACCUGCUAUUGGUUUUCUUGGGCUAUCCUGGCCAAUGUUUGUUAAUGUUUCCCUGUUUGUUAACUGUAAACUUUUGGCUGAAUAAAUAAAUGAAUGAA